UAUACGACCGUACCGCAAACCGACACUGGUGCGCGAGAUGAGUAUUCUAAGGCGCUUGAGAGAACUCAGGAGAAGGAACUCGGCAAAUUGACACCGUAACUUCGGAAGAAGGUGUGCCCUAUUAGUGUGUAGUGAACAACGAAGCAUGAAUGGGUUGCAAAAAAUCGGUGGCUGCGACUGUUUAUUAAAAACACAGCACUCUGCAAACACGAAGGUGGACGUAUAGGGUGUGACGCCUGCCCGGUGCUGGAAGAUUAAAUGAUGGGGUGCAAGCUCUUGAUUGAAGUCCCAGUAAACGGCGGCCGUAACAAUAACGGUCCUAAGGUAGCGAAAUUCCUUGUCGGGUAAGUUCCGACCUGCACGAAUGGCGUAACGAUGGCCACACUGUCUCCUCCUGAGACUCAGCGAAGUUGAAAUGUUUGUGAUGAUGCAAUCUCCCCGCGGAAAGACGGAAAGACCCCAUGAACCUUUACUGUAGCUUUGUAUUGGACUUUGAACAGAUCUGUGUAGGAUAGGUGGGAGGCUUUGAAGCAGGGUCGCUAGAUCUUGUGGAGCCAACGUUGAAAUACCACCCUGGUGUGUUUGAGGUUCUAACCUAGGUCCAUUAUCUGGAUCGGGGACAGUGCAUGGUAGGCAGUUUGACUGGGGCGGUCUCCUCCCAAAGCGUAACGGAGGAGUUCGAAGGUACGCUAGUUACGGUCGGACAUCGUGACGAUAGUGCAAUGGCAUAAGCGUGCUUAACUGCGAGACUGACAAGUCGAGCAGAUGCGAAAGCAGGACAUAGUGAUCCGGUGGUUCUGUAUGGAAGGGCCAUCGCUCAACGGAUAAAAGGUACUCUGGGGAUAACAGGCUGAUACCGCCCAAGAGUUCAUAUCGACGGCGGUGUUUGGCACCUCGAUGUCGGCUCAUCUCAUCCUGGGGCUGUAGCCGGUCCCAAGGGUAUGGCUGUUCGCCAUUUAAAGAGGUACGUGAGCUGGGUUAAAAACGUCGUGAGACAGUUUGGUCCCUAUCUUCCGUGGGCGCUGCAGAUUUGAGGAAGCCUGCUCCUGGUACGAGAGGACCGGAGUGGACACACCUCUGGUGUAUCGGCUGUCACGCCAGUGGCAUUGCCGAGUAGCUAAGUGUGGAAGAGAUAACCGCUGAAAGCAUCUAAGCGGGAAACUCGUUUCAAGAUGAGAUCUGCCGGGGCCUUGAGCCCCCUAAAGAGUCGUUCAAGACCAGGACGUUGAUAGGUCAGGUGUGGAAGCG
rnacentral:rRNA from 1 species